CAAUUAAAUUUAUUGUGUCAGAUCGGCUCUAUCUUGCAUAUAUUUAUUAUUUACGCAAUUCGCAAAUAUUGUUUUAUUUACUUUAUAGUUUAAACUACGCAAUAUUAUCAAUUUUCAAAAUGCGUAUUAACUAUGUUUAUUAACUGUGAUUUUAAAAUAAUGCCUAAUUUAAGCAAUUAUCGAUUAAUUUUAAUAGAUUAUAAUUUAUAAAAUUAACAAGGUUCAGUUUCAAAUAAUUUAAUUUGCAAUUUCAUUAGAAAAUAUUCCACUUUGUUAUAUUCUUGCUGUAAUUAUGAGGAAUUAUAUCCUUAUUUAAUUUAUUUUUUAUAUAUUUUAUACAAUUUACAUGAAACCGAUAAAAUUGUCAGAAAUUUCAUUACAAUUAUAAUUAUUUUUUUUCAGUUGGGAAAGUAAUGAUUUCAAUUGCUGUUUAAUUAGCCUCAAAUCUUCGUUUGCUGAUAAGCCCUAAUAAUCUACAAAUUUAUCGUUAGAAUUACUAUAAAUAAUAACUACAAAAAAUAACCAAAAAUACUGAAAUAACCAUAAAAUAAUUAUCUUUGUUUCAGUUAAAAACAAGAGAACGUAAAACAAUUUAUAGCCUCGUGGCGAUGGAAAAACAAACCUUGAGAGGUGUGAUCUUGAUUUUAUCCCUCCUGGGUAGUCCAUGAAGAGGAUGAGCAGUAGAAAGUACAGUUGACGCGUUAUUCGAAAGAGACACCUGCACGAGGCUGGAGACUCGCCAAAUAACUGAUAGCGUGGGCGUCGCGACUUCGAAGACGACGUCGAACGACCAAAGUCGAGAGGGGGUGAAGCUUCCCCGUUCUUCUUGUUCCAUUGGUCAGGAACCGAUUGUGCGAUUCGUGUCUUCCUCCUCUCCGUCUUCUGUUCUUACCGAUCGUCCCUAUCGCUGGAGGCAAACUGCGAAUUGUUGCACCGAUAGAGUCGUCAUCAGUUGCUCUGAUUUGGAGAGGAAGAUUCAUGAUACCAAGAUGAUGGACACCUAUGAUGAGAUUUAAGAUUCACUUGUGAUAGAUAAACUAUCAAUGCACUCAAGGAAAAUGAAUGGCCACUGAAAUCGAAGUUCCGCGUGACCAACCGGAAGUGUGCCCGAAAAGCGAGCGUAAGGUGCCUUUAAGAAGGAUAAAAAUGUCCUCAGAAGAACUAUAAAAAGCGUUCCACGGGUUAGCAGGCUCAAUCACGAGCGGAGUAUCCCUCGGACCUCUCCGUGACUUCCGGUUCUUGGUAGCGGGCGACGACGCGCGUGUGCCAGCGCGGUGACCGGAUAUGGCGAAGAACCGACUGACCAAAUCGUUCGACGGAGAGCCGCCGCUUCGCGUAUCGAGCUUUUCAUGCGAAUCACGCGUUCUCCUGUACCAAAUACCAAGCUCGUAUCGGUGACAUCAUACUCCGCGUUGUAUACUUGUGCCAACGUGCACAGGUGAACGCGUGCUAGAGUAUACAAUUGGAUGGAACGAUGUCGUCGUUUUCAAUCACGAAUCUCAGUCCUUUCUUUGCAGUUGCUUCACUUUAAUCGUUUAACUUGUUAACUGGACGAUGACUGAAAAAUCAUAAUUAGAAUUGACUAAUUCUGAUAAUCAUGGAAUUAAUAGUUAACAAAAAGUGUCAAUUUUAAUUUAAUGUAGAUACGAUAUAACGUCGAGUGCAACUUCAAAAGAGUAUUGAUAAUCAGUAUUUGAGAUUUUUAUGCUGUUCUUUUAUUUCUUCAUACUAUGUAUUAUUACGUUACAUUAGUUACAUAUUCUGUUUUCUAUCUUAUUUUGUCAUUCUUUUCUGAUUGUUCAAAUUCCAUCAGAAACCAUCCUAGUUGAAUUAAUCCCUUAUGGAUUCAAACGAAACAAUCUUUUCUCCAUCUAUAUAUCAAACCUGAAAUCCUACUAAAUAGAUAAUGACAAGAAAAAUUAAGUAAGAAACGAGGGAGUUAACGAGAAAGUUCUAUCAAUAAUAUAUAUCUCGUUUGUAAAAUGAAAAUUUCAAUUGGAGAAAACAUUAAACGAAAAUCACGAAAACAUAAGCAAGCACUUACUAUAAAGAAACCAAUAACACCUAACAUUAAUGAAUUGCUAAAGCUUUCACUAACGACAUUCAUGAAUUUUAAAAUAGAAAUUCCGAAGGAGGAAAACGGAAAGUAAAAAAUUACGAGAACAAAAGAAGGAAGGAAAAAUGCGAAAGAUGAGUAGACAGAAGGAGGAAAGUUUACGAAGAAAGUCAUCGUAGGGUUCGGUGAUUCGUGGCCCAUCGAGGUUUCUCUUCUGUUCUUCCUUCGUCACGGUAUUUACGUGACGAAGGUGGCAGUAGAGAAGGGAGAAAAAACCAAGAGAAGAAUAAUUAAUCAGUAAGCGAAUCACGUACGCGGGGAUGCAUAUAUAAGACCAUAGAACGUCGUGUACUUACACGAAGGAGCAAAAGGAACGCACGUAUGCACGAGCCUGCGUAUAUACCUUCCAUCCGGUUCUGGAUAAUUCGGAUGCCUAAUUUUGUCCUCUUAGAAAAGUCGACUGGCGGAAAUAUAAACUACCGUGAACGAACAAGGAAACGAUUUACGAUUAUGUUCCAUUAUCCUAUAUUUUAAAUGUUGCACCAUCUUUUGUGCUACUUUAUGUCAAUGUAAAAAAAUAAAAAAAGGAACGCAUUGGUUUGGGUUGUUUAACUUGUUACAUUUUAUGUAUGUAUAUUUUUAUAGUUAAACAUUUUAUGAUUGUUAUAGAAUAAGUGAACGACGACGCUUGUUUACGAAUAUUGGAGAUUUGAGACGCUGCAGAUUGAUGGUAGAAAAUAUGACAAAUUUCGAAAGAUAUGCUACUAACCGAUCAUAUGAUCGGCAAAAUCUCGAGAAACACCCUCGCGACUAGAUAAAGAAAGAAGCGAAAGGCAUAACGAAGAAGGAAUCUCGAAGGAAGUAGGCCGUGCAAAUGAGGAAGUCUGUCGACCUGCUCUGAAACUAAAAAAUCCAACAGUCGCUUGCUAAUUGAAGAACAAACAGGCACAGUUCAAUCGGAGGUUCUGCAGGAAAAAUCGUGACGAAAUUUAUUUUGACGACUCCAUUAUGGUACGAAAUUUUUACAUUUUUGACUUUAUAAACCAUGGAAACAUCAAGGAAUUAUGGUUCAACAUUUGAACUUUCUUAAUCUUCCUUUUCCUUUCGCUAAAGGAACAGGUGAAUAUUCCGAUCCAACUUGUAUUUAUUUGUUACACAUAAUCGAAUGCUUCCUCUUCAAAACUUUUACAAAUAUGCGUAUAAAUGUGCAAGGAAUGCACGUGGGAUAUUUAGUAUAAUUUAUAUCACGCAUACCGAUCAUUAACGAUAACAAUUAACCCCAGUUAAGAGGAAGACGAUAACGAGUUUCAGCUGGCAGCUUCUCUACCUAACCGUUUUACAAGCAACUCAUAAUCAACGAUACUUUAAUUUGCAAGCUCUCGAUACAUUUAUCACCGGCAUCCUUAAGUUCAUCAAAACUGUCUUACUACCAUACAGCUACUAAUAUCGCGCUCAAAAUAACCAAACCACAAUGUACCAUAUAAAUACUAUUCCAGUCGUUGAAUGCCUCCAUCUGUUACAUAAUUUGAGCGUUCAACUGCAACAUUUUCGUCUCUAAAUGCGCAAAAAGUGACUAAAGGACUAAAGACUUUACAUUCUUAUGAAGAUUACGGAGGAAGUGGUACCUAAAUAGAGAUCUGUGAAUAUUAUAACGAGCAUCUUUAUGCAACAUCUUUGCACAUUCAAUUUCACAUAAACGAAUAGAAAUCCGCAGUCUAAUGUCUAGAGAGGUACGAUAAAAAAGUAAAGAACUAAUCUCAAACUUUACCUACCCUUUUAUGAAUAAUUCCACGAGUUCUACUUUCUUUACACUUUCAAAAUAAAUAAUCCAAAAUAAUCCACGAUUUACUAAUCGAGCAACUAAAAUCGAUGAAAAGGAAGUAAGCAACUCGGACCUUACCUCCGUUUCUACAAAUAAUUCCAAAAGUUCCAUUCUUCCAAUAAAGGUUGCUCUCAGCCACGCUCUUCGCAGAAAAAAGUCCCUUUAAAAUACCGAUUUCACCGUGCUUCUUGGUCAAUUGAAAGAUCCGUUAAACGUCUCACACUUUGCAUAGAUCUCGUUCGUAAUUCGCGAUACUCGCGAGAUCGGUUGGCACAUUCCGUGGAAUCGAUGGUAAAACCAGCGGAACCGGCAAUUACCAUUAAAAUUACCACGAUUCACGAGCGCGACGCAACGAACGAAGGAAAAAAGCAUUGUUUCGACCAGCUACGAGCACCGACGAGACUUUUUAUCUGAACAAUAUAUCGAGCUCUUUUGCUUAUCGCAAAACCGUGACUGAUAACUCUUCUCUUUUUCCUUCGUUCUUUUCCUUUACCUUCUUCUUUUUUUUCUUUCUUUAGAACCGCAUUUUAUCACCGAGUGUAACAGGUAGCUCGUAACACGUUGCGACGAAUCAACGAACCUCGUCGCGAUUAUCGAGCCGUUUUCACGGUUCGUGGCUCGCGAGUCGAACACCACGACCCGUUUGCAGAUCAGUGUCGCCUCGACCAGGAAAUCGGUCUCGUCUUACAGGAUGCCGGUGCGUCAAUAUUGACACGUUUCUUACGAAACCACCAGAGAAAGAGGAAAGAACGAAGAUAAAACGAGAGAAGGGAGGAAUUGAGAAUUUGGAGAAGUUUUUGGGAGGUGGCAGGAUUUCAAGGUCGCUGGGUCUUUGGUAGAGUUCAGGGUCGUUUAUGGCGUUGAUUGUGAUUUAAUGUAGGGUAAGGUGAUGUGGUAUAUAGGGUGUUAAAAUUGCUUAGCGUUGGAUUAGUUAGAUUUUUAUGUUUGAUUCUUUGGGAAGUUAGGAAUUUGUAGAAGGGAGAAUUGGGAUGUUGGUUUGAAUCUUAUCGUAGAUGGGAGUGCAGGAGAAUUGUUGAAAUAGUUUUUUAAUUGAACGUAAAGAAUGGUUUAUACGUUAAAGAUAAAUAUUUUUGGGUACAGAUUAGAAUUUGCGCGUAGGUUGCGGAUUUCCUUAGUGGAGAAGCGCGCUAAAUUUCUUAGGAUUAACGAAAUUCAAUCGCAAGUUUGAAGAUUCAAAAAUUCUAAAAAUUGAGAUGUUAAAAAUCUUUUAUUAAAAAUCUUUGAAAAUUUAAAAGCGUAA